GAAUAUUGGCCAAUGGGGGGAACCCUGAUCCAGCCAUGCCGCGUGUGUGAAGAAGGCCUUUUGGUUGUAAAGCACUUUAAGCGAGGAGGAGGCUCCUCUAGUUAAUACCUAGAGAUAGUGGACGUUCCUCGCAGAAUACGCACCGGCUAACUCUGUGCCAGCCGCCUCGGUAAUACAGAGGGUGCAAGCGUUAAUCGGAUUGACUGGGCGUAAAGCGCGCGUAGGGGGCCAAUUAAGUCAAAUGUGAAAUCCCCGAGCUUAACUUGGGAAUUGCAUUCGAUACUGGUUGGCUAGAGUAUGGGAGAGGAUGGUAGAAUUCCAGGUGUAGCGGUGAAAUGCGUAGAGAUAUGGAGGAAUACCGAUGGCGAAGGCAGCCAUCUGGCCUAAUACUGACACUGAGGUGCGAAAGCAUGGGGAGCAAAC
rnacentral:rRNA from 1 species